CACAGACCAUGAGAUCAUGACCUGAACCGAUGCUUAACCAACGAGCUACCCAGGCUCCCCCUUUCACUUUUUUUAAAUGAUAACUUGACCUUGUGUUUUAGCCUUUGCCAGAUAACAAGGCAUCCCAAAGUGUACUGGCCUAAAACAGCAAUACUCUAUGCUUUGUCAUGAUUGUGCUGGUUGGCUGGGCACUUCUUCUGUGGGUGUUGACUGGAAUUAUUCAAGAAGGAGGCUCAGCUAGGCUAGAAGGUCCAAGAUGGUUUCACUAGCAUGUCUGGCUAUGGACUAGGACACUUCAGGUCUCCUCUCGUCCAUGGCUUCUCGUGUUCUAGUAGGCUAGAUGGAUUGUUAUAUAGCAACCAGAACCUUCCAAGAGAAUCAAGGCAGAACCCUUAAGCUUCCUGACUUAACCAUGGGAGCCCCAAGUCACUUCCAUCCUUUCUAUUGGCCCAAGCAGGUCACAGGGCAAGCCCAGACUCGGGUAAGGAAGUGGAGAAAAAGACACACCCUUGGAUGGGAAGAAGACGUGGGGGGACACAUUGCACAGUGCAAACCAGCAUGGGAGGGAUUGGUGGCCUUUAACCAAUCUACCACAGUUUGUUUUCAUCAAUGUAACUUUUUUUUUUAAGUUUAUGUGUUUAUUUUGAGAGUGAGAGAGCGAGUGAGCAAGGGAGGGGUAGAGAGAGAGGGAGAGAGAGAAUCCCAAGCAGACUCCAUUCUGUCAGCGCAGAGCCGCAUGUGGGGCUCGGUCCCAUGAACCUCAGACCGUGACCUGAGCCGAAAUCAAGCGUCGGCUCAACCAACUGAGCCACACAGUUGCUCCUUCCACGUAACUUUUUAUAUGAGGUUUAAUGCUCGCAACGGCCACACGUAAUUCAUCGAUGAACACUUCGAAUGCUUGAUAGUCACCAUCAAGGAGAAAUUUCAUUAGCCCAGGUACUUAAAAUGGUCUAAUUUGCGGAAGGCACACGCAUUAGCAGCAGACCCGCGGUUGGCGUGGACACCGUGAAACUGUGCACCAGCCACAAAAGGAGAGAGUACAGCCUGACAGGAAAAAACCACCAUGGGACUAGAAGCUCCCGACCAACGAGGAUAUUAUUGCACAUUCAGAUGGACGAGGCACCUCUCUGCAGGUUGUGACUGCUUAACUCCGAGCAGCAGACUUUAAAAGAACCUCUUUCUACAAAUAUGAUGACAAUCUUAAAAUACCCAACAGGCUAACGAGGAAGAAAAACCACUCCUUCUGUCUAAGGGGAAUGGUGAAAUAAUGGCCCAAAGCUGUCCUCUGCAAUUCCUUUGGGGGUGACAUUAAAGGAUUGGAAGGCAUCGGGGAAACCAACAGGAAAAUUAGCUUUAAAAAAAAAAAAAGAUUUUAUGUUUAAGUAAUCUCUACAUCCAACAUGGGGCUCGAACUCACAACGCCGAGAUCAAGAGUCACACACUCCAUCGACUUAGCCAGCCAGGUGCCCCAGGAAAAUUAGCUUUGUUAGUAAAAUGAGCUUACUUAGUGAAAAUAAUUCUCACUGGAUCUAGCUUUUAACAAAUCUAUGGUCAUUUUAUGAUUCUAUAUAUUUUCUGGAGUAGAAGUCUGAUGACCAGCACCUUUUUACCGAUAAAAAGAGCGACUCCGAAGCACACAAAUGUGUCUAGGGAAGGGGUCUUGUGCCUCUUUUUACUCAAUGAGCCUGUGGUUCUUCUCGGUUUUCGUGUAUAUGAGUGUGUCUGUGUGUGUGCACAUGGGCGUGCGUGUGCACCUGUGUGGGAGAGUAGAUCCAGGUUUUGUGGGGUUUUUUAUUUUAUGAUUUGGGGAUCCCUUAAAGAGAAAAAAGAACAGAACAUUAUGGAUACAGAAUUAGGUAGGAGAAGAAUGUUAUGCAGAUUCAGAAAGAAAACACAAUACAUAGCAUACUUUAAAAAAAAAUGUUUAUUUUUGAGAGAGAGAGAAAGAGAGCACAAGCAAGGGAGG